rfam:Pseudobacteroides cellulosolvens ATCC 35603 = DSM 2933 ctg1, whole genome shotgun sequence.
UCGUGCUAGAUGGGGAGAUAGCGGUGCCCUUUUCCUGCAAUCCGCUUAGCAGGGUUGAAUUCCUACACCGAGGCUUACUUUUGUAGGGUCUGCCCCAAGCAAGAAACGAUGAUAAUUGGGUCUCACGCAACGAAACCCUGCGAACCCCGUCAGGUCCGGAAGGAAGCAGCGGUAAACAGGCACUUUCGUGUGCCGUGGGGGGUCCUGGUUUGAGUUUACUACUUGGGUAACGCUUGUAGUAGUUAGUCGAAGGUAGGUGCACGG